rnacentral:rRNA from 1 species
GACAGAGGGGGCAAGCGUUGCUCGGAAUCACUGGGCGUAAAGGGCGCGUAGGCGGGAUGGCAAGUCGGUCGUGAAAUCCUUCGGCUCAACCGAAGAACGUCGGCCGAUACUGCCGUUCUUGAGGGGUGCAGAGGAGAUUGGAAUUCCCGGUGUAGCGGUGAAAUGUGUAGAGAUCGGGAGGAACACCGGUGGCGAAGGCGGGUCUCUGGGCAUCUCCUGACGCUGAGGCGCGAAAGCGUGGGGAGCAAACGGG